UACGGAGGAUGCAAGCGUUAUCCGGAUUUAUUGGGUUUAAAGGGUGCGUAGGCGGCUUUUUAAGUCAGCGGUGAAAUUUUGCAGCUUAACUGUAACAGUGCCGUUGAUACUGCUGGGCUAGAGAUUGGUUGCUGUGGGCGGAAUGUGUGGUGUAGCGGUGAAAUGCUUAGAGAUCACACAGAACAACGAUUGCGAAGGCAGCUCACAAAGCCACAUCUGACGCUGAGGCACGAAAGCGUGGGGAGGCAAACA
rnacentral:rRNA from 1 species